rnacentral:rRNA from 1 species
AGAAUCAACGCUGGCGGCGUGCCUAACACAUGCAAGUCGAACGGGAAAGUGGAGCAAUCCAUGAGUAAAGUGGCGACCGGGUGAGUAACACGUGACUAACCUACCUUUCAGUGGGGAAUAACCUCGGGAAACCGGGGCUAAUACCGCAUAAUGUCUUCGGACCAAAGGAGCAAUUCGCUGGAAGAGGGGGUCGCGGCCGAUUAGCUAGUUGGCGGGUAACGGCCCACCAAGGCAAUGAUCGGUAGCC